rnacentral:rRNA from 1 species
GUGCCAGCCGCCGCGGUAAUACGGAGGGUGCGAGCGUUAAUCGGAAUUACUGGGCGUAAAGCGCGCGCAGGCGGUUUCUUAAGUCUGAUGUGAAAGCCCCCGGCUCAACCGGGGAGGGUCAUUGGAAACUGGGGAACUUGAGUGCAGAAGAGGAGAGUGGAAUUCCACGUGUAGCGGUGAAAUGCGUAGAGAUGUGGAGGAACACCAGUGGCGAAGGCGACUCUCUGGUCUGUAACUGACGCUGAGGCGCGAAAGCGUGGGGAGCGAACAGGAUUAGAUACCCUGGUAGUCCACGCCGUAAACGAUGAGUGCUAAGUGUUAGAGGGUUUCCGCCCUUUAGUGCUGCAGCAAACGCAUUAAGCACUCCGCCUGGGGAGUACGGUCGCAAGACUGAAACUCAAAUGAAUUGACGGGG